GACAUGGGAGAAUGAUUAAUGGAUAUGCUUCUUCAGAGGAAAGAAAAGAGAAUCGGGGCUCUACCAUCCCUGUCUUUUGCCAUCUUAAAAUGUCUGUCCUUCUAUGUUUACUUGGAAAACAUUGCUACUUGUUUGUAAAGUUAAAACUUAAGGAGAAAAAUCAUGAUUCUUUUCUGUGAAACAGAUGCAGAUGUCACCAUUGAUUCUUCAAAGCAUCCAGAAUAUGUUUCUAGCACUGAAGCAAGAAAAUGUGAGUGCCUGUUUUCUUUGCUUCCUGCAUUCCCUGGAGGUAGAAUGGUACAGUUCUGCAGCCAGGCCACAAGCAACCCUGAUGGUGGGGCGGAGGCUGGCACAGCUUGUCAGAGGCUGGCAGCUGGUGUGCAGACCAAAGCCCAGUGAACCUGGGGCCUAAAUGUCAACGUGUGACUAUCAGGACAGGAAUAAAGGCAUUGAUGUAACACUGGUUUUUGUUUUGUGUGUGUGUUUUUCUGAAGGGCAAGACGGAUAUACUAAAAACUGAAUUUUAAAAACAUUAAGCCCUAAUUCCACCUUCAGAACAACUGGCUUUUCAAAAUAACUAAAAGGGUAGAAUUGGAAUGUUUCUAACACAAAUGAUAAAUGCUUGAGGUGAUAGACUUUCCAAAUACCCUGAUUUGAUCAUGACGAUAUUGUAUAUUUGUAUCAAUAUUUCACAUGUACCCUAUAAAUAUAUGCAACUAUUACGUAUCCAUAAUAAUUAAAGAUAAAUCAAUAUUUUAAAGUUCUUCAUUUGUUUUAGAUCCUUCGUUAAAAAAAAUGAGAAAAAAUGAGUUGAUUUUUUUUUUCCUCCUGGCUAAUGUAAAAACUAACACAAAUUUACCUUUCAAUUAAAAUCUCAAGACACUUUGCAUGUGGUACACGCACCAAAUGCAUACAUUAGAACUGAAUUAUGGAAAAACACAAGAGAAUGACAUUGAUUUAUGCACUUCCAUUAGAUAGAGUGUUACUUAACAAUUCAAAACAAACAGAUACCUUAAGUCUGUCAAGAAAAGAGCAUUUUAGUUGAAGAGCAAAGACAAGUAAUUCUGCAUUUUUAAAGCAUAACUGCAUUACGUUGACUUGGAGUAUGGGUGUUGACUAAGAGUACAAGCCAAAACAGUGGUCACAUUAGUCUGGUGCUGUCCAUAGCACUCCAGCCCUUCUGCUUUCUGUAGCUGUGACAAGGCCAAAUUCUUUCAAAGACUUCAUGUGUGAUUCCUACCCUUCUUCCUUCUCUCCAUUCUCUACUUUUGUCUUUCUUUUCCCUUCUACCCUUACCUUCUAUAAAAGUGACCUUUUAAAAAAUAUUGAGUUACUUUGACAAGUCAGAAAACCUGAAUAAAAGACAAAUAUUACUUUGGGGGAACGGGGGAGGGAAGAUGAAUUUGCAAGUUUGAAUUAAUUUUGGGGUUUGUCUGUCUUUCAUGUUUUCUGUUUUAAAGCAGCAUUGUUUCUUUUAAGUGCUGUACUAUCUUGAACUAACUGCUUAUCAAGCGCUUCUUAGCAGAACUCGGUGUGGCUUUGAUUUAAUGAAGACAUUAAGUCCUUUUUAAUAACAACUUCUUUUCA
ensembl:lncRNA